UUUUACAGAUUUCUUCGGAAUGAAGUUUUAGUGACUGAGUGGCGGACGGGUGAGUAACGCGUGGGUAACCUGCCUCACACAGGGGGAUAACAGUUGGAAACGGCUGCUAAUACCGCAUAAGCGCACAGUACCGCAUGGUACGGUGUGAAAAACUCCGGUGGUGUGAGAUGGACCCGCGUCUGAUUAGCUAGUUGGCAGGGCAACGGCCUACCAAGGCGACGAUCAGUAGCCGACCUGAGAGGGUGACCGGCCACAUUGGGACUGAGACACGGCCCAAACUCCUACGGGAGGCAGCAGUGGGGAAUAUUGCACAAUGGGGGAAACCCUGAUGCAGCGACGCCGCGUGAGUGAAGAAGUAUUUCGGUAUGUAAAGCUCUAUCAGCAGGGAAGAAAAUGACGGUACCUGACUAAGAAGCCCCGGCUAACUACGUGCCAGCAGCCGCGGUAAUACGUAGGGGGCAAGCGUUAUCCGGAUUUACUGGGUGUAAAGGGAGCGUAGACGGUAAAGCAAGUCUGAAGUGAAAGCCCGGGGCUCAACCCCGGGACUGCUUUGGAAACUGUUUAACUAGAGUGCUGGAGAGGUAAGCGGAAUUCCUAGUGUAGCGGUGAAAUGCGUAGAUAUUAGGAGGAACACCAGUGGCGAAGGCGGCUUACUGGACAGUAACUGACGUUGAGGCUCGAAAGCGUGGGGAGCAAACAGGAUUAGAUACCCUGGUAGU
rnacentral:rRNA from 1 species